CUCCAGCCCGGCGUAUGGCGAUAGCUGUCUCGAAAGGCUGAGCGAGGUGUUCAUGACAAGCGGGCGCUCUCCCAGCCAACGCAACGUAGCAAGGCAGUCGUUUUGUGUGUGUGCGCGUGUGGCCGCAGCCCGAAGCCGAAGUCGCGGUGUGAGCGGGCAAACGAACGAUAAUUUUUGUAUGGUGGUUCGACGCAGUCUCGAAUGGCGCGCACUCGCAGCGAGUUUGUGCGUCGGCAGUCAGAAAGCUGGCAUAGCUUUGUCGGUCAGUCCUGCCCGGCGUAGCAAGAGCUUGUCGGAAGGCGUCCAGUGGUAACCAUGUAUCACUAGGCAGCCGGUGGAGGCGCGCUGAGCGAUGACUCCCCGGGCCUGCGUGUACGUGAAUAGUCCUUUUCGGUGCGACAGAUAUCUGGUUGAUCCUGCCAGU
rnacentral:misc_RNA from 1 species